CUACGGGACGCAGCAGUGGGGAAUAUUGCACAAUGGGGGAAACCCUGAUGCAGCAACGCCGCGUGGAGGAUGACGCAUUUCGGUGUGUAAACUCCUUUUAUAUAGGAAGAUAAUGACGGUACUAUAUGAAUAAGCACCGGCUAACUCCGUGCCAGCAGCCGCGGUAAUACGGAGGGUGCAAGCGUUACUCGGAAUCACUGGGCGUAAAGCGCGCGCAGGCGGCCCCUUAAGUUGGAUGUGAAAGCCUACGGCUUAACCGUAGAACUGCAUCCAAAACUGAGGGGCUAGAGUCUGGGAGGGGAAGAUGGAAUUAGUUGUGUAGGGGUAAAAUCCGUAGAGAUAACUAGGAAUACCAAAAGCGAAGGCGAUCUUCUGGAACAGUACUGACGCUGAGGCGCGAAAGCGUGGGGAGCAAACAGGAUUAGAUACCCCGGUAGUC
rnacentral:rRNA from 1 species